rfam:Chaetomium globosum CBS 148.51 scaffold_2 genomic scaffold, whole genome shotgun sequence.
ACAUACGACCAUACCUGCCAGAAAACACGGGAUCCCGUCUGCUCUCCCCUAGUUAAACUGGCAAGGGCCAAACUAGUACUCAGGUCGGUGACGACUGGGGAAUCCUUGGUGUUGUAUGUA